GUGCUGUGAGCUCGAUGAGUAGGGCGGGACACGUGGUAUCCUGUCUGAAUAUGGGGGGACCAUCCUCCAAGGCUAAAUACUCCUGACUGACCGAUAGUGAACCAGUACCGUGAGGGAAAGGCGAAAAGAACCCCGGCGAGGGGAGUGAAAAAGAACCUGAAACCGUGUACGUACAAGCAGUGGGAGCACAGGUUUACCUGUGUGACUGCGUACCUUUUGUAUAAUGGGUCAGCGACUUAUAUUCUGUAGCAAGGUUAACCGUAUAGGGGAGCCGAAGGGAAACCGAGUCUUAACCGGGCGUUAAGUUGCAGGGUAUAGACCCGAAACCCGGUGAUCUAGCCAUGGGCAGGUUGAAGGUUGGGUAACACUAACUGGAGGACCGAACCGACUAAUGUUGAAAAAUUAGCGGAUGACCUGUGGCUGGGGGUGAAAGGCCAAUCAAACCGGGAGAUAGCUGGUUCUCCCCGAAAGCUAUUUAGGUAGCGCCUCGUGAAUUCAUCUCCGGGGGUAGAGCACUGUUUCGGCUAGGGGGCCAUCCCGGCUUACCAACCCGAUGCAAACUGCGAAUACCGGAGAAUGUUAUCACGGGAGACACACGGCGGGUGCUAACGUCCGUCGUGAAGAGGGAAACAACCCAGACCGCCAGCUAAGGUCCCAAAGUCAUGGUUAAGUGGGAAACGAUGUGGGAAGGCCCAGACAGCCAGGAUGUUGGCUUAGAAGCAGCCAUCAUUUAAAGAAAGCGUAAUAGCUCACUGGUCGAGUCGGCCUGCGCGGAAGAUGUAACGGGGCUAAACCAU
rnacentral:rRNA from 1 species